rnacentral:lncRNA from 1 species
AAAAUGAGGCACCACACCCAGAAUUAAUUGAAAAUUUGAUCACUAUAUCUCACAAUGUAAAAUACAAUUAGGAUGUUUGUACAGAAAGUGACAAGCCAUUCUGCAAGUUGCUCUGAGGUUGCACUGGGUCAUGAGAACAGAGGAAAUUUUAAUGAUAUGUGACUUCUAUGGAAUGCCUUUUCUAUGCAGGGGCAGAAGCUUAGCUGGUGUGACUGAAUAAAACGACUGCCCUAAGGUGCAGGAUCAGCAAGGGAGUCCAAAGCCAUCCUUGAAUAAGUGACACCUCCAGUUCCUGGCAUGGAUGCAGGCCUCAUCAAUCAUGUCAAGGAAGAGAAGGGGGCCUCUCUGGCACAGGAUUGAGAGCAAGUCUGUGAAUUGUCCUUUACAGGAAUGUCUGGAGCCUCAGCACCAAAUGCCAAAGCACACAUGCCAUAAUCUAUUCCAAUGUGAUACUUCAGUGCAAAUAUUAAACUCAUAAUCUGUGAUUGAGAAAAAGAAUAUUGGUUGGAGCUGAAACUCAAAGAAUGGAGGUAAGAAUGGGUGAGGAAUUCUUGUUCCUUGAGAA